UGGGGAAUCUUGGACAAUGGGGGCAACCCUGAUCCAGCGACGCCGCGAGUGAUGAAGGCCCUAGGGUCGUAAAGCUCUUUCGCCAGAGAUGAUAAUGACAGUAUCUGGUAAAGAAACCCCGGCUAACUCCGUGCCAGCAGCCGCGGUAAUACGGAGGGGGUUAGCGUUGUUCGGAAUUACUGGGCGUAAAGCGCGCGUAGGCGGACUAUUAAGUCAGGGGUGAAAUCCCGGGGCUCAACCCCGGAACUGCCUUUGAUACUGGUAGUCUAGAGUUCGAGAGAGGUGAGUGGAAUUCCGAGUGUAGAGGUGAAAUUCGUAGAUAUUCGGAGGAACACCAGUGGCGAAGGCGGCUCACUGGCUCGAUACUGACGCUGAGGUGCGAAAGCGUGGGGAGCAAACAGGAUUAGAUACCCCCGUAGUCC
rnacentral:rRNA from 1 species